rnacentral:lncRNA from 1 species
GGAACCAUACUCCCAUCUGUCAUGGCAGCUGCAGCAAGCCUCACCCAAGGAGAGUCUGGCUGGAGGCCAAACAACACAAAACCAGCACACUUAACAAAAAUAUAACCAAUGACCCUUGCAGAGUCCACUUAACUCCCCUCCACCAGAGCAGGUGCUGGUAUCCACAGCUGAGAGACCUGAAGAUGGAUCACAUCACAGGACUCCUUGCAGACAUUCUCCAGUACCAGCCCAGAGCCUGACCUGUCCACGCUGAGUUUAUAGCAACUGUCAAUUACGGUUCAGAUUUUCCUACCCCAGCGUGACUUUCCAAAGAGGCUUCUGCUCAUGGAUUUCUGCUCCAGGAAGAUGCAACAGGAAGGUCCUCACAAGAUGGCUGAACAGAUGCAGGUGCUGUGCCUCUGGACUGCCUAGCCUCCAGAACUGAUACAUAUGCAGGAUGUGCAGCUUUGUUACACAGAUACUUUUGGCUCGGUGAAUGGUGCUUAUCAGUUAACAGCAGAAACCCUCCUGAAAUGGAAAAUGGUUCAUUGUUUCCAUCAUGUACUCUAUGGAAUACAAAGCUCUGAAACCUGUUGGCUACUGGAAGUGUACAAGAAAAAGACUCUCAAGCUAGAGGUGGGGUAGAGCUGGAGCCAGCCAUGUCAAGAUCUUUCGAGGACAUGAACAUUUUUUAUGCUUAUUAAAAGAUGAUGUGGUUUUAAAAUAAAUCUAAGGCUGGGCGCAGUGGCUCAUGCCUGGAAUCCCA